GAAUUUAAACCCCUUCCAGAGUAUCAAUUGGAGGGCAAGUCUGGUGCCAGCAGCCGCGGUAAUUCCAGCUCCAAUAGCGUAUAUUAAACUUGUUGCAGUUAAAAAGCUCGUAGUUGAAUUUCUGCUGCAUCGUGGUUCUUCGCUAUGUCGAGUGAUCUUCGUUGUGGCUUAGUUGGGGCAUGUUUUCAUGACUCGACGUUUACUUUGAGAAAAUUAGAGUGCUUCAAGCAGGCUUUUGCCUUGAAUACUUUAGCAUGGAAUAAUGGAGUAGGACUUUGGUUCUAUUUUGUUGGUUUUAGGAGCCGGAGUAAUGGUUAAUAGGAACAGUUGGGGGCAUUCGUAUUUGACUGUCAGAGGUGAAAUUCUUAGAUUUGUCAAAGACGAACUACUGCGAAAGCAUUUGCCAAGGAUGUUUCCAUUAAUCAAGAACGAAAGUUAGGGGAUCGAAGACGAUCAGAUACCGUCGUAGUCCUAACCAUAAACGAUGCCGACUAGAGAUUGGAGGUCGUCAGUUUGAACGACUCCUUCAGC
rnacentral:rRNA from 1 species